rnacentral:lncRNA from 1 species
CCGGCGUCCGUGGUGCAAAGUCUUCCGUGAAGAACUCGUGCGGCAUACGAAGCAGGGGCAGCCUGUCCAUACACCAGGUCUUUGGGGAUUAGGACGGCUACUGGUGUACCGAGAGGGAGUCAGGAGGAAAAUAGACUGACAGGAUCAGGGCGUUGGCACAGAGGCAAAGCUCUGGCUGGCUCUGAUACCAAACUGAUGCGGGACAGAUGAUUUAGAGAAGAAAAUAAGAAGGGAAAGGAGGAGAGAGGAGUUCUGGAGUCCACCAGAUGCCAAAGCAACGUUUUUU